GGAAUAUUAUUUUUUUUAACAAUACACUAUCCAAAACAUGAUUUAGAUUUAUUCAACACAAAAAAAUGCUGUAUCACUUUAUUUUGAGACAAUGAAAACAAUAAUACUUAUAAGAAUACUACUUGAUUACAAAGUUAAAAUUGGGCGCGAACAUGUAGGGUGCGAACGGACUUUGGGUGCGAACAUGUAGGGUGCGAAAGUGAAAGGGGGCGAACAUGAGUGGGUGCGAACGUGAAUGGGCGCGAACGGACCCGGAUUCAGUCGAUUU
rnacentral:lncRNA from 1 species